ACUACCUUCAAGUCGGUGAAGAUACUCUCUCCUCGCGCGUCUCUUUCUAACUAUAUGGUUCGUGUAAACGCGUUCCGUGGAAUUUUCGUCGCGGCCAACUUGAAAGUCAGUUUCACCGUUUGCGAUCGUGUUAUUCCUGCGCGACCAAGCUGAUAGCGCGAAUCUUCGACUAACGAUACCGUGUUAUAUAUAUAUGAUUGGUUAUCUAACAAUUCGCGUCGAUAUAGUCUGGCGAGACAGAAAAUUUAUCGGUUAACACUCUCACUCUCAUUCAUACACACACACACACACACACAUACACACACUGGCGUGGAAACGGAAGACGGGUUCUCGGAACAAGAAUAUAUGAGAUUUUGUUAUGCUUUCUUCAUUCAUUCUUUCUUUUUCUUUAAAUCCGCUUGAGAAGGAAUCUUCGAAAAAAAAUCUGUCUACAUAUUAAAGCUGAGGUAUCAUUUACGAACAUCGUGAAAUAUUGAACAGUCUUAUAGACGUCCUAUGGCGUUUAAAGUAUUAACCGUUAUUGAAACUUGUAAAAUAGCUAUUUGGAAGUUGCGAAAAGUUCGAAAUUGUGCAAUACCGCAAAGUUCUCGGCGAAAUGACUGAAUUCAUAGUUAUCGAUAUCUCUCUCGGAGAGAGUAUUAGUCGCGGUUCUCGCAUCGGGAUAUUCCGAUAUCACGUACGCGAUUUACAACGCUUGAAAUCGUGACUUCGUAUUCAAUUCGUGUCAAACGAACGCUUUCGUUCAAUAAAUUUGUUUUCUUCAAUUUCAUCUCGAGAUAAAAUUUACAUAGUUACAAGGACGAUAGAUUUCCACACAUAUAAAUAACUUGUGUUCAGUUCUGCAUUCCUUCUAUACAACGUCAUCAAAGCAAUAUAGCAUUAUUAAUAAGUUUUACGUGAAUUUGACUGCGAGAUUCUCGAGUGCCGAACGGAUGUUGUUUCGUGAGUUUAUAGUUUUUGCAUCGUUUUUUCUCAUUAUGCAAUGUACGCGAAAUACGCGUGCGAUUCACGCGUCGUGUCGGGAGUGCCGUGUAAAGUAUCGCGCGUCGGGAGUGCCG